UUGACUCUGAAUCAAGGCUAAGAGUUUAUUGAAGGUGUUGGUUUCAAGCAGGUGCCUAAAGAAAUGUCUUUCUAUGGUCUGGUGGCCAUUUCAGAAAUUUGGAAAUGUAAUGGACAAUUCAUCAGAAACAAACAUGC
ensembl:snoRNA